rnacentral:lncRNA from 1 species
CAGGACGCCAGUAGAGCUGGCAGCCGAGUCUGCCGCUCCCGCCCUCAGAACCGCGGCGGCGGGGACAAAAAGCCGCGGCGGCGGGGGCAAAAAGGCACGGUGGCUGGGGCAAAAAGCUGCAAAAAGCACGGCUGCGGGGGCAAAAAGCAGCAAAAAGCCGCGGCGGCGGGGGGAAAAAGCCGCGGGGGCAAAAAGCAGCGGGAGCGGGGGCAAAAAACCACAGAAAGCCGAGGCGGCGAGGGGAAAGAGCCGCGGCGGCAGGGGGCAAAAAGCUGCAAAAAGCAGCGGCGGCAAAAAGCCGCGGCGGCGGGGGCAAAAAAACCGCGGCGGCGGGAGGCAAAAAGCCGCGGCGGCGGCGGGGGCAAAAAGCUGCAAAAAGCCGCGGCGGCGGGGACAAAAAGCUAGGGCGGCAAAAAGCCGCGCUAACGGGGGUAAAAAGCCGCGGCGACAAAAAGCCGCUGAGAGGGGGCAAAAAGCAGCGGGAGCGGGGGCAAAACACAAAAAGCCACGGCGGCGGGGGCAAAAAGCCGCGGCGGCCGG